rnacentral:rRNA from 1 species
UACGAAGGGGGCUAGCGUUGCUCGGAAUCACUGGGCGUAAAGCGCACGUAGGCGGCUUGUUAAGUCAGGGGUGAAAUCCUGGAGCUCAACUCCAGAACUGCCUUUGAUACUGGAGAGCUUGAGUCCGGGAGAGGUGAGUGGAACUGCGAGUGUAGAGGUGAAAUUCGUAGAUAUUCGCAAGAACACCAGUGGCGAAGGCGGCCAACUGGUCCGGUACUGACGCUGAGGUGCGAAAGCGUGGGGAGCAAACAGG